rnacentral:rRNA from 1 species
CCUACGGGUGGCAGCAGUGGGGAAUAUUGCACAUUGGGGGAAACCCUGAUGCAGCGACGCCGCGUGAGUGAAGAAGUAUCUCGGUACGUAACGCUCUAUCAGCAGGGAAGAAAAUGACGGUACCUGACUAAGAAGCUCCGGCUAACUACGUGCCAGCAGCCGCAGUAAUACGGAGGGGGCAAGCGUUAUCCGGAUUUACUGGGUUGAAAGGGAGCGUAGACGGCAGCAGAAGUCUGGAGUGAAAGCACGGGGCUUAACCCCGGAAUUGCUUUGGAAACUGUGCGGCUGGAGUGCAGGAGGGGUAAGCGGAAUUCCUAGUGUAGCGGUGAAAUGCGUAGAUAUUAGGAGGAACACCGGUGGCGAAGGCGGCUUACUGGACUGUAACUGACGUUGAGGCUCGAAAGCGUGGGGAGCAAACAGGAUUAGAUACCCUUGUAGUC